rnacentral:misc_RNA from 1 species
AAGUCGUAACAAGGUUUCCGUAGGUGAACCUGCGGAAGGAUCAUUACAAGGUUCUUAGUGACAUCUCGAAAGAGAUCCCUCCCAAGUAUCCCACCCGUGUCUAUAUACUCUUGUUGCUUUGGCGGGCGGCGGCUCGACCUGCCAGGCUCUGCGGCUUCGUGCAUCGUACCCGCACCGCAGGAGACCAAACUCUGAAUGUUAGUGAUGUCUGAGUACUAUAUAAUAGUUAAAA